GGGCUUUUAAGUCACUCGUGGUUCCAUUUAGUAGAUGAUUGUGCAUUGUUUCAAAAUGGUGCCCUAGUGACUACAAAGCCC
ensembl:miRNA MIR224 microRNA 224